rnacentral:rRNA from 1 species
AACGAACGCUGGCGGCAUGCCUAACACAUGCAAGUCGAACGAGACCUUCGGGUCUAGUGGCGCACGGGUGCGUAACGCGUGGGAACCUGCCCUUAGGUUCGGAAUAACUCCCCGAAAGGGGUGCUAAUACCGGAUAAUGUCUUCGGACCAAAGAUUUAUCGCCUUUGGAUGGGCCCGCGUUGGAUUAGCUAGUUGGUAGGGUAAAAGCCUACCAAGGCGACGAUCCAUAGCUGGUCUGAGAGGAUGAUCAGCCACACUGGGACUGAGACACGGCCCAGACUCCUACGGGAAGCAGCAGUGGGGAAUAUUGGACAAUGGGCGAAAGCCUGAUCCAGCAAUGCCGCGUGAGUGAUGAAGGCCUUAGGGUUGUAAAGCUCUUUUACCCGGGAUGAUAAUGACAGUACCGGGAUAAUAAGCUCCGGCUAACUCCGUG